GGGUGAGUAACACGUGGGCAACCUGCCUGUAAGCUCGGGAUAACUAGCGGAAACGCUAGCUAAUACCGAAUAACGCUGCGCACCGCAUGGCGCGCAGAUGAAAGGCGGCGCAAGCUGCCACUUACAGAUGGGCCCGCGGCGCAUUAGCUAGUUGGUGGGGUAACGGCCUACCAAGGCGACGAUGCGUAGCCGACCUGAGAGGGUGAUCGGCCACACUGGGACUGAGACACGGCCCAGACUCCUACGGGAGGCAGCAGUAGGGAAUAUUCCGCAAUGGGCGAAAGCCUGACGGAGCGACGCCGCGUGAGCGAUGAAGGUCUUCGGAUCGUAAAGCUCUGUUGUUAGGGAAGAACAAGUACCGGAGUAACUGCCGGUACCUUGACGGUACCUAACCAGAAAGCCCCGGCUAACUACGUGCC
rnacentral:rRNA from 1 species